UACGUAGGGUGCGAGCGUUAAUCGGAAUUACUGGGCGUAAAGCGUGCGCAGGCGGUUCGUUAUGUCCGAUGUGAAAGCCCCGAGCUCAACUUGGGAAUGGCAUCGGAAACUGGCGGGCUGGAGUGUGGCAGAGGGGGGUGGAAUUCCGACGUGUAGCAGUGAAAUGCGUAGAGAUGUGGAGGAACACCGAUGGCGAAGGCAGCCCCCUGGGCCAACACUGACGCUCAGGCACGAAAGCGUGGGGAGCAAACAGG
rnacentral:rRNA from 1 species